rnacentral:misc_RNA from 1 species
UACAGAGGGUGCAAGCGUUGUUCGGAAUUACGGGGCGUAAAGCGAGCGUAGGCGGUAUUGAGAGUCAUAGGUGAAAUCCCAGGGCUUAACCCUGGAACUGCCCGUGAGACCUCAGUACUAGAGUGUGAGAGGGGAUAGUGGAAUACCAAGUGUAGCGGUGAAAUGCGUAGAGAUUUGGUGGAACACCGGUGGCGAAGGCGGCUAUCUGGCUCACAACUGACGAUCAGGCUCGAAAGCGUGGGGAGCAAACAGG